CUAGUUUCGGCAAUACAUAUACUAAAAUUGGAACUAUACAGAGAAGAUUAGCAUGGUCCCUGCGCUAGGAUGACACACGAAAUUGUGAAAAGUUCCACAUUUUU